GGCGACCUCACUCUCGUCGGCGAUGUGAGCCACCGCAAGUCGCCUGACCUCAGCAAACGUUGCAGGGUGAGCCCUGAUCAAGGCCUCGCAGAAUGGUCCUGGCAGCACGCCCUUCUUGAAUGCAUAGACCAGCAUUUCUUCAUCCUUGGCCGGCGAUCUGACCAUCUGCGCUCCAAAGCGAUUCAGGUAGUCUCUGAGGGACUCUCC
rnacentral:lncRNA from 1 species